rnacentral:misc_RNA from 1 species
GGAAUAUUUGCCAAAACGGUGCGUAACACCAAAGCUACAACAGCAGCAAAUAGAAAAGAAGCAAAACAGUGCAUGUGGCAUAUUAAUGAAACGGUGCGAUUCAAGCCAAAGUCAGAAAAGUCGUCACAUCUGUAACAAAGAGAAUUAAAGCUGUUAUAACUAAUUCUAUUUAUUUUGCCUAAAUGGACAUUCAGUUUUAACUAAC